rnacentral:rRNA from 1 species
UCCUACGGGAGGCAGCAGUGAGGAAUAUUGGUCAAUGGACGCAAGUCUGAACCAGCCAUGCCGCGUGCAGGAAGAAGGUGCUAUGCAUUGUAAACUGCUUUUAUACGGGGGUAAUUACAGAUACGUGUAUCUGGAUGAAAGUACCGUAUGAAUAAGGAUCGGCUAACUCCGUGCCAGCAGCCGCGGUAAUACGGAGGAUCCGAGCGUUAUCCGGAUUCAUUGGGUUUAAAGGGUGCGUAGGUUGUUUUAUAAGUUAGCGGUGAAAUACCGAUGCUCAACAUCGGGGCUGCCGCUAAUACUGUAGG